CCCCUGACCCUGACCUCAGGGCUCCUGGGCUCUGCUCGGGGCUCCUGGGCUCUGCUCGGGGCUGAGGGAUGGACUGUGAAGUUGGAAACUUUGAUCACAUGGACACGUCAAGGCCUGCAGACCUCUGCUUCUUUAUCAGACCAGCUCCUCACCAGGCCCCAGAGAUGCCAGCAGAACUCUGCCCUCCAACAGCUUUCUUCCUGAUGAGAGAGGAAACAGAAGAAACAAGCAAAUCACACAAAGGAUGUGACCAUCACAGGCACGAGCUGCCGACCCGAGAUCUGCGCAGAGCUGGGCGUCUGUCAACAUUGCACAAGCUCUGGGACGCUCAUGACGCAGAAGCUCAUGGACACACCCUAACCCUGACCCUGACCAUAAACCUACACAGGGCCAAAGGUCAGGGUCCUUUCAGUUCUCUAUUUCAUGUUAGCAUAGCUCUCACACACAGAAUCUCUCCUUAAAUGGCACCCCACUCCAGCAUUCUUGCCCGGAGAACCCCAUGGCCGGGAGGAGCCUGGUGGGCUGCAGUUCACGGGGUCGCAGUCGGACACGACUGACCAUCUGAACAUGACACUUCACUGAUCCGCAUCGCUGUACGGCAGAAGCCAACAUAACACUGUAAAGCAACUUUCCUCCCAUUAAAAAAUACAUUAAAAAAUAAAACAAGACAU